rnacentral:lncRNA from 1 species
CGAUUUAAGAGCUAGGGUUUCCGUGCCGUUUCUCAUCGUGAGCGCCAUGAGAAGUACCAGCAGAGCAGAGUGAGGAGGCGAAGAGGGCCCAACCACCCGAGAGCCGGAGGUGCGGGCCUCCUCGUCGUCCGCCUCCGCCGCCGCCGAUGGGUCAGCCGGCGCCUCGUCCCCAAGCCGCUGUUCCUGAGGCGGCCGUUCCUGAAGCGGUCGGUGCCGAGGACUUGUCGGCAGCGGCGGCGGAGGACGACGAGGAGCCCGCACCGCUCUCGGGUGGCUUGUGCCCUCUUCGCCUUCUCGCUUUGACUCUGUUGGAACUUCUCAUGCCUCACCUCACGCCUGGAAGUCGAGAACGGCAGUGCCGCGGAAACCCACG